rnacentral:rRNA from 1 species
CGGACGGGUGAGUAAUGUCUGGGAAACUGCCUGAUGGAGGGGGAUAACUACUGGAAACGGUAGCUAAUACCGCAUAACGUCGCAAGACCAAAGAGGGGGACCUUCGGGCCUCUUGCCAUCGGAUGUGUCCAGAUGGGAUUAGCUAGUAGGUGGGGUAACGGCUCACCUAGGCGACGAUCCCUAGCUGGUCUGAGAGGAUGACCAGCCACACUGGAACUGAGACACGGUCCAG